GGCAAAAUAAGCAAGGUUGCUUAUAGAAAAGCACUGCAGCCCCUGAUAAGGGAUUGACAACACUACUCUUUAUCACUUGGUGAACACAGACUGAGAAAAUAGCCUACUAUGCUACAUUACGCCACAUAAAUUUUAUAUAAAUAUUGUGCAAAGCCAAUAACCACUUCUUGAUGCCUCAGAUCACAACUUCUUCUGAGUUGUUUUAGCACGCACUAAAUCAGAUACUGAUAACAUUCCAGUUUUACCAACGUCAAGAACUUCAAAUUCUUUCAUUGCAACAGAGAUAUCUCCUUGCCCAAUCUUCCCCUUCUCUUUAAGCUUCGAUAUGAUGAACUCAGCAGACACUCUGUCAUUGUCAAUUUUGUCAGUCUCCAGAUCAAGAUUGGUCAUCCUCCAGGUAAGAAUCCAAUUAACCAGUGCCUUUUGUCUGCUUUCAGUGAAUAGCUCGGCAACGUAGAGAUAAAACUGGCCCAUACCAAGAGUACUGCUCAGUAUCCAAAAUAUACCAAAAGCACGCCCACCUGCAGUUGAGAAGCUCUUAUCUCCAAAGCCUAGGGUCGAGACAGUUGAACAGACACAAAAUAAGGCAUCAAUGAUGUUCAAAUCCUCAACUGCAAAUAAGAAUAUGGUUCCAAUCAUCAUAAGCACUGAAAGAACGGCCAUGGCCAUAAGGCACUUGAACAUCGGUUUGUUGAAUUCUGUCUCCUCUUUGAUUUUAGAUGGAUCAUUUUUUUUAUGCUUAUUUAGAGCUUUCUCCAGCAUCAUUUCCUGCUUCUCUGCCAAGUAAUCUGCAACUUUGUUCAUUAUUAAUCCCACAAGUGCCAUCCCUGUGAAGACAAAAACACAGACAAGUAUCUUUACAAGGGUAGUAUCAGGCGUUAGGUCUCCAUAUCCAACAGUGGUCAUUGUCACAACACAGAAAUAUAAGGCAUCAAGAAUUGGACUUGUUUUCUUCCCCUUGAGGUCAUCCACGACAAAGUAAAAGCAUAAGGUGCCAACACCCAAAUAGACCGCCAAGAACACAGCCACUUCCGUGAAACUGGUGUGCAGUUUCCCAAAAAUGGAUUCAGCACUUGGAAGUUUGCCGCCAAAUUCUGAAGAAACAAACUUUGCCAGAGGAGCACUUUUAAAAUUGAGAAAUUUUCUUUUGUUAGGAGCACGUGCAUUAUUUGUGUGAAGGUUAGGAUUCACUAAUCCAGACAUCAAGGGCUGUUUUGCACCAUUCGACGCCAUUAAGAGUCUUUGGAGACCUGGUUCGUGUCAGUUUAGGAGCUAAGUUUAGAACUCUCACUAACAGGCUCGAUACACCUACCUCCACUGCGAUUGACCUUCCUGAAACUGCUCAGCAAGAGUUACUGGUGGAAGCAGG
rnacentral:misc_RNA from 1 species